rnacentral:rRNA from 1 species
GACGAACGCUGGCGGCGUGCCUAAUACAUGCAAGUAGAACGCUGAAGGAGGAGCUUGCUUCUCUGGAUGAGUUGCGAACGGGUGAGUAACGCGUAGGUAACCUGCCUGGUAGCGGGGGAUAACUAUUGGAAACGAUAGCUAAUACCGCAUAAGAGUAGAUGUUGCAUGACAUUUGCUUAAAAGGUGCAAUUGCAUCACUACCAGAUGGACCUGCGUUGUAUUAGCUAGUUGGUGGGGUAACGGCUCACCAAGGCGACGAUACAUAGCCGACCUGAGAGGGUGAUCGGCCACACUGGGACUGAGACACGGCCCAGACUCCUACGGGAGGCAGCAGUAGGGAAUCUUCGGCAAUGGACGGAAGUCUGACCGAGCAACGCCGCGGGAGUGAAGAAGGGUUUCGGAUCGUAAAGCUCUGUUGUAAGAGAAGAACGAGUGUGAGAGUGGAAAGUUCACACUGUGACGGUAUCUUAACAGAAAGGGACGGCUAACUACGUG